UCACGAGUGUAAGACUAGGUCUAAUACUGAGAUAAACGCAGUGACGUAACGACUAUAUCCCGACAUCCACAUAGUCGAUGUCUUACACAUGGGGAUCUGUCUAUCCAGCAGAUAAUAUUGUGAAUAUAAAAUACACAGAAUAUACCCAAACUAAAGUUGCGAUAGUUAAAAUUUAUCAAUAAAUAAUUUUGUUAAAAACAUACAUACCAUUAACAUCUGUAUGUAUUAGUGCAUUUAUGCUAGUUUAUUUCCAACCUUUUU
rnacentral:misc_RNA from 1 species